GGGGGCAGUGUGGAGAUGAGAAGAAUAACGAUUAUUUCGAAAUAGAAGAGAUGAGUUUUAUUUUAUUGAGAAUUGACGCUGGCGAUCAAACCAGUAAGUAGAAGGAAAAUUAAAGCAGUGCGUAAAAGACUCAUUUGGGACAAGACAAUUAAUUUUGAAAUAUUAUUCAUCAAUGACAGGUCUUCUUUCUUCUUCUACUUGAGAACGAAGGAGUGCAAUGCAAGAAAUUAAUUACACCAGCUGUAAAUAGUUAUCAAUUUUUGAGAAUUAGAUUCUAGAAUUUCAUUAGAAAUUUUAUAUAAAAAGAUGUAAAUCUAACUGAUUUUUUUUUUUUUAAUGAGAUCAGUCUAAUGAGUUUGCUUUUCCCUGGAGAACAU
rnacentral:misc_RNA from 1 species